UGUGUUUCAGUGUUUCAGUGUUUCAGUAUUUCAGUGUUUCAGUAUUUCAGUGUUUCAGUAUUUUAUGCGUUCAGUAUUUCAGUGUUUCAGUGUUUCAGUGUUUCAGUGUUUUAGUGUUUCAGUGUUUUAGUGUUUCAGUAUUUCAGUGUUUCAGUGUUUCAGUGUUUCAGUGUUUUAGUGUUUCAGAAUUUCAGUGUUUCAGAAUUUCAGUGUUUCAGUGUUUCAGUGUUUCAGUGUUUCAGUAUUUUAGUGUUACAGCAUUUUAAUGUUUCAGUGUUUCAGUGUUUCAGUGUUUUAGUGUUUCAGUGUUUCAGUGUUU
ensembl:lncRNA